GACGAACGCUGGCGGCGUGCCUAAUACAUGCAAGUCGAACGAGAGCGACCGGUGCUUGCACUGGUCAAUCUAGUGGCGAACGGGUGAGUAACACGUGGGUAACCUGCCCAUCAGAGGGGGAUAACAUUCGGAAACGGAUGCUAAAACCGCAUAGGUCUUCGAACCGCAUGGUUUGAAGAGGAAAAGAGGCGCAAGCUUCUGCUGAUGGAUGGACCCGCGGUGCAUUAGCUAGUUGGUGAGGUAACGGCUCACCAAGGCCGUGAUGCAUAGCCGACCUGAGAGGGUGAUCGGCCACAUUGGGACUGAGACACGGCCCAAACUCCUACGGGAGGCAGCAGUAGGGAAUCUUCCGCAAUGGACGCAAGUCUGACGGAGCAACGCCGCGUGAGUGAAGAAGGUUUUCGGAUCGUAAAACUCUGUUGUUAGAGAAGAACAAGUGCUAGAGUAACUGUUAGCGCCUUGACGGUAUCUAACCAGAAAGCCACGGCUAACUACG
rnacentral:rRNA from 1 species